AGUCCCGCAGGCACCAAGCUGCAAACUUGGUAACGCACCCUAAGAGGUGCCGGGGCUUC
rnacentral:tRNA from 1 species